rnacentral:lncRNA from 1 species
CUUGAACCAAGUGUCCCUGGGCAAAGUAGGGUGCUUGAAUUUCUCAUCAAGAUGAGUUACAUUCUCAACACUGAUUUGAAGCAUUCUCCAAAGCCUACUUGCUAUUGGAAAUAUUUCUUUAUACUGUUGGCUCUAUUAAUCCUAGAAAUAAUUGUCAUAUCUUAGAAAAUGAUGUCAUUGUUUUGUACGGUUGUGAUUUAUCUUUUUUUAAUCUUAAUCAUGGAUGCCUUUUUGAAAUGCUUGUGUUUUUAAGGAUCCUCCUCUCUAAAUUAGAUGACCAGAGAGUUACUCAGGAAGCUAAUGUUCCUCUGCCUCCAGAAGUUGGAGAUUUGCAGAAGACCUUCAAAAUCAGAGUAGCCUUAGGCAUGAGAAUGUGCAACACACCAUCAUUAUUGAUUACGACGAUAAGUAUAGUUAUUGCCAUAACUGUGCCUUGA